rnacentral:rRNA from 1 species
AUUGAACGCUGGCGGCAGGCCUAACACAUGCAAGUCGAGCGGAGCGGCGGACGGGUGAGUAAUGCCUAGGAAUCUGCCUGGUAGUGGGGGAUAACGUCCGGAAACGGGCGCUAAUACCGCAUACUAUCAGAUGAGCCUAGGUCGGAUUAGCUAGUUGGUGGGGUAAAGGCCUACCAAGGCGACGAUCCGUAACUGGUCUUAGAGGAUGAUCAGUCAAACUGGGAACGGAACACGGUCCCAGAUCCUACGGGAGGCCACAGUGGGGAAUUUUGGGCAAUUGGCGAAAGCCCUAUUCAGCCAAGCCGCGGUGUGGGAGCAGGUCUUCGGGUUGUAAAGCACUUUAAGUUGGGAGGCGUUACCAACAGAAUAAGCACCGGCUAACUUCGUGCCAGCAGCCGCGGUAAUAC